AUUGAACGCUGGCGGAAUGCUUUACACAUGCAAGUCGGGCGGCAGCGCGGGGGCAACCCUGGCGGCGAGCGGCGAACGGGUGAGUAACACAUCGGAACGUACCCUGUCGUGGGGGAUAACGAAUCGAAAGAUUCGCUAAUACCGCAUACGACCUGAGGGUGAAAGCGGGGGAUCGCAAGACCUCGCGCGAGAGGAGCGGCCGAUGGCGGAUUAGCUAGUUGGUGGGGUAAAGGCCCACCAAGGCGACGAUCCGUAGCGGGUCUGAGAGGACGGCCCGCCACACUGGGACUGAGACACGGCCCAGACUCCUACGGGAGGCAGCAGUGGGGAAUUUUGGACAAUGGGGGNAACCCCUGAUCCAGCCAUUCCGCGUGAGUGAAGAAGGCCCUUCGGUUGUAAAGCUCUUCCUAGCAGGAACGAAACGGUAGGUCCCGUAAUACGGACUACUAAUAGACGGUACCUGAAGAAGAAGCACCGGCUAACUACGUGCCAGCAGCCG
rnacentral:rRNA from 1 species